rnacentral:lncRNA from 1 species
CAGAAGACAGAACAUGUAGAGAAGCGCGAAAAGGGGGAAUACUGAUGCAAAUUAGAAGAUGGAAAUCAACACAGUUCAGUCCUGAUCGAAUUAAAACUCAACGUGUCAUAAAGUUCUCCCCUCUUCCGUCAGGCACAAUCUUUAAUAAUGCAAGUAGUAAACAAUUCCGGCAAAAGUGUUAUGCAAAAGGAAAAAGACCCGACUGAAGACCUUGAAAUUAUUUACAGGCUUCAGUGAUGCGAUCAGUGACAAAAUGGUUUUCAACACAAGGACUUCACAUACAGUUUGUAUAAGAUUUAAUGCUAUUUAGUUGGUUACGUAAAGAAUAAAAACAAUGUACACGUCAUAUGAUGAUAUGAUUAUUGUCCGCUUUAUCUGCUGGAAAUAAAACAUACUUAGACUGAAGUUCUAGGGUUUCAGUUUUUAGAUGUCUUAAAGUAAACUUCUGUUUUUGAUGGAAGUAGAUACUGUUUUUUAAAUAUACGAGAAUGGACAAUGUUAAUAAAUGAUACGUUCUAUGACGUUAAUGGAUUAAGAUAAGCAUUGUCACGAGGACAUCUUUUAACACUAAAAAUGCGAUGGAUUCCGCAACUUCACCACGACAAGCAUCAAAAUCAAUCUUUGAGGAACUCUUUAUUCAUAUUUUUUAAACAACAAGUUAGGAAUACCAUUGUUUUAAAUAAUAUCAUAACUACCAGUGAUGACAUUGACGGCAUGUGAAUAGCAAUGCUUUGAAAUUUCACAUUUACAACUGUACGAAAGGCAUUUGCUUGAACAUCCAGGUCGGAAAAGUUUUAUUGUAAUUAGAUAUAACAUAGUUUCUGAACUAUUUAUGCACAGAAUAAUGACACGCCUUUCGCAAAAUAUUCAAGGAACAUAACUGAAGUCAAUCCCUUUUUAUUCAUGAAGCAUGAUUAAAGAAAUUGUCUGUCACGGUCAGAUUGACUGGCAACAUGUCGAUGGAGAACGUAUCGUGUGUAAAUUUGAAUUAGAUAUGAUACAGUGUAAAAAGGUGUUUGAAAACGGCACGAGUCUGCUUUCUCGUCUAAUUAAGAAAGUAUUGGUAAAAAAGGGUAGGAAAAUUGUUCCUCCUACGCAUUUUUAUGAAUGUUGAAGGAAACGAAUGUUUAAAGACUUUUUACCAACAUACUGAAUACUAUAAUUGUGUGCAUUUGAUGCAAGUACAUAUCGCGGUGUUACAGCGAAAACCUUGUAUCUACGUAUUUUUGUUUCAGAAAUGGCAAUGGUUCAUGUUAUGUGUGGUCUGAAGUUAUAAUGGAAAGAGGGGUUUCUAGAAAAUUUAUACGAGCAUACAUUUACCUACAAUCUCUACCAUCAUCUGUUGAAACUGUCGUAUAAUAGUCGGAUGCAUGCACGGGACAGAACAGAAACAAGUUAUUUUAUCAAGUCUGCUGUAAACUUAUUCAAGAAUACUAAACAAAUAGAUCUGAUAUAUCUUUAAUCUGUCAACACACAUAUGGAGAGCGACAGCAUUCACGCUGCAAUCAAGUUUACAAAAUAAAGAUCAACGUUCAAAAAUAGUGGGACACUGUGAUAACCAUGACCAGACGUGGCAAGCCAGUAAACUAUUGUGCCAAUAACAUAUGGAUACUCUUAAUUUGCCUACCCGCUUAGCUCAGUAGGUAGAGCAUUGGUCUACGGGUCUCGAGGUCUUGAGUUUGUUCCUCAGGCGGGGCGUAUGUUCUCCAUGAGGAUUUGACAAAAGAUAAUGUGUCUGAAAUCAUUUGUCCUCCACCUCUGAUUCAUGUGGGGAAGUUGGCAGUUACUUGCGGAGGAAAGGUUUGUACUAGUACAGAAUCCAGUAACUGCCCGCCGUCACAUGACUGAAUUACUGUUAUAAAACGGCGUUAUAUCCAACACAAACAAACAUAACUUUCUCAAAAAUCAAUCUCACACAUUCGGACAAUGGAGUGAAAGUAAAACUGUACGAAAAUGAAGUGAAUCAGCUUUAUUAAAGACAAUUCCAGGCUUGUUAUUUCAAAAUAAGUAGGACUGAUAAGAAUUAUUAGAGGAUAUAACUCACAAAAGAUAGUCAACUACCAGUCAAACACAAAUUACCGAAGCUGUAUAUCAAUCACAAAAAGAAAAAGCUCUUUACAAUUUGCGAAAAGAAAAAGAUUAUUAAGAAAAUUAUUUCAAGUGACUUUCUUGAUUAUUACAAGUCUCUUCUGACAAGUAAAUUGACUAAUGUACUGCUUGCAAAAAAAAACAGACUUGAGGGAAGCGAUCGAGACACAGAUCCUAACAUGAACUAUUUUUGAAGGAAGCGGAACAAGAAGUUACCCACUGACUAUUUUUGAAUACCAGGAAUAAAGAUCGAAAGUAUUCAUUACUAUAUGCUUCCAUAAUUAUUUUGUAUUAAAGCAAUGUACUUAAGAUACUGUUACGUUUCUUCUCUUCUCACGAUUUAAUAGACAAUCAAUUAAGCAAAGACAUUGUGCAUGUAUAUUAUAUAUAUUGUCAUUUUUUUUAUCUUAAGAUCUGCUAUAAUUGUUAUGACAAAAUGUCUUAUCUUCGUAUUCUAUAUUUAUAACUGUUUUUUAGCGAGUACUUGUAUGAGUUUGGUCAGUGCAUAAGUCACUUAGUUUCAUUAGCAAUUUUCUUGCCCAGCAAUUUAGUGAUAAUAUAAUCAAACUGUGACGGCAAACAUCAUGUAUAUACAUUUGCAGCGUUUAUGCAGGGUGUAUUAGAAGUGGAAUUAACAUAAAUGUGCCAGCAAAAAAAAAAAAAAAACGUAUUUGCAAUGUUUUGCAUUGUUGAUUUUUUUUUUCGAGUACCUGUUCCAACAAAAACACUGUUUAUCAAUAUACGUGUUUUUUUUUUUUACUAAAAUUAUAUUUGAAAUAUAUACAACUGUUUGUGCAAAAGCAAUUUUUGCCUCUUUCUCCAUAAAUACUAAGUUUACUUACAAAUCACUUGAACAGAACAUAGAAAAUAUUACUUCCAGUAUAUGUGUAAAACAGUUUUCCCCAAAUAAAAGAUACAUAAAAAUGAUA